CCUACGGGUGGCAGCAGUGGGGAAUAUUGGACAAUGGGGGGAACCCUGAUCCAGCGACGCCGCGUGAGUGAAGAAGUAUUUCGGUAUGUAAAGCUCUAUCAGCAGGGGAGAAAAUGACGGUACCUGACUAAGAAGCCCCGGCUAAAUACGUGCCAGCAGCCGCGGUAAUACGUAGGGAGCAAGCGUUAUCCGGAUUUACUGGGUGUAAAGGGAGCGUAGGCGGCUCUGUAAGUCUGAUGUGAAAGUUUGGGGCUCAACCCCAAACGUGCAUUGGAAACUGGAGGGCUUGAGUGCCGGAGAGGCAGGCGGAAUUCCUAGUGUAGCGGUGAAAUGCGUAGAUAUUAGGAGGAACACCAGUGGCGAAGGCGGCUUGCUGGACGGUAACUGACGCUGAGGCUCGAAAGCGUGGGGAGCAAACAGGAUUAGAUACCCUGGUAGUC
rnacentral:rRNA from 1 species